rnacentral:lncRNA from 1 species
UUGAGUUUUGUUCUCUCCAUCCUUGAAUUAAAAGAAAAAACGUUUUUAGCUACAUCUUGCACAAUGAAAUAAAUGUACAUACACUCUAAAUUUAGUGAAAAUUUUAUCUAACUGUCUUUGAAAAAUUGAGCUAACCAAAACCUCCUGGAAUCAUUCUUUCGUGAAAGAAAGAAGUAUAAAGGGAGAAACAGAAAUUGCCAAAUGCCUGAAAAUGAAAAAGUUUACACAUUGAAGUUAGUCAACACAUUGAAAAAGCCAAAACUAUAAGUACAUGAAUUAAAAAGCCACAACUACAAUUUCUAUAUUGCUAUUUCGUCGGCUUUCCUUCAUUUUUUUUUGAGCUUUGCUAAUAUCAGCCGUUGAAGCUUCAAUAAUAAUUUAGAUUACCAAAAAAAUCCCAUCUCAUAUCUUUCCCUCAGAUUUAUUUUAUCAUAAAACAAACACUCAUCAAACCAAGCAUAUCUAGGAGUCUGAGAUAUACAUUUACUUUCUGAAAAAAUUUCAACAUAUAAGAGAACCUCAUGCUUAACUAUGCUUAAGAGGUAUCCAAAAAAUAAAGGCGUCCUAAAGAAAAUGGCCAAAGAGAAUUAAAGAUAUGACAAAUAUAAACCUGCAAUCAUAGCUUAGAUUGUAAACCGAAACACUUGUCAGGAAGCUCUUGCUACGACCUCUAUAUCUACCUCAUUUAGGGCUUGGGCUUUGAUUCCUCCUUCCAAACCACUUGGUAAUGACGGAGUGUAGGUCCUUCUUCUCAUCGGAGAAGACGAAGAGAAGCUUAAAUCUCUCUAGUCUCUAUCUGCAAAUCAACAUAAACUGGAUCAUAAAGUAUACCAUGAAUUUUCAUACAUUAAAUAAAUUAAGACAAACAAAUGCAAGAGUUAUAGCAUCAGCCGCUAAGACACCUGGUUGGAAAUCAUAAGAUUCCCUUGCCUUGCAUGCAAUCUGCCAAAUCACAUAAAUGAGCAUAAAUAUAUGAGAAUACUACAACAAAUCAUACAAACAAAUACCACUUUUUCAAUUAUUUUAUUACAAACACUUACAAAAGUGAAACAAAUUGAAAUCCUAAACUAAACGAUUUCAAGCUUUGACUGGAAUCGUGAAUAUUGGACUUACGGGUUAAUACGGAGCCGUGCCACCCAAACAUCUAUGACGAAGAUCCUCAAAAAUAGCGAGCGAGGGCAUCGCCGGCCGUAGACACUGUUGGAUAAUAACUUGCAGGGAGAUCAGAUGUUGAUCUCGGUGCUGGGGCCUCUGCUAUUUAUAGUGGUCUCCCUCUAUCAGUUACGAAACGCUUGAGUUGUCGAAGUUAUAUAAAAAUUAAUAAUGGAGAGGGGAAUGAUAUGAGCAGUGAAAGGGCGCAGGCGGCAAACCAACAGAGGAAGUGGAAGACAGAGCAAUGAAUUGGAUUAGGUUAAUUCGUUAUUAGUUUAAGAGAUCCU